UUUGCCAGCGUCACUUUCUAAGCCGGCCUAGCUGCGAGUCUCCACAUCUCAUUUUUCACUUCACUCUCUGCCGUGCCUCAUCUCCUCCAAAAUGAGCUACAGAACCUCCAACAUGCAGCAGAUACCAUCCUCCCGGAUAUCCUUCACCCGCUCCAUGCCGCAGUCCCGCGCUACCAGCGUUUACGGCGGCGCCGGUGGGCAUGGGGCCCGCAUCUCCUCUGCCUCCGCAUCCUCCCUGCGUUCCGGCGCUCCAAGCGCAUCUUCUUCAAGUUCCUUCAAGCUGAGCAGCGGGAUGGGCGGUGGAUUCGGUGGUGGAUUCGGUGGCGCCGGUGCAUCUGCCGCAGCCAGGGGUGGCACAGGUGCUGGGAUCCUGGGCAACGAGAAGGGAGCCAUGCAGAACCUGAACGACCGCCUGGCCAACUACCUGGAGACGGUGAGGAACCUGGAGCAGGCCAACGGGGAGCUGGAGGCAAAGAUCAGGGAGGCCCUGGAGAAGGGGGGGCCCGACUUGAAAGACUACAGCAAGUAUGAAGCCAUCAUAGAGGACCUGCGCAGACAGGUCUUCGAUAAGAUUGGGGAGAACGCCCGGUUUGUGCUCCAGAUCGACAAUGCCCGCCUCGCUGCCGACGACUUCAAAGUGAAAUUUGAGAAUGAGAUGGCCAUUCGCCAGUCCGUGGAGGCCGACAUCGCCGGGCUGAGGAAAGUCAUAGACGACACCAACAUGAGCAGGAUGAACAUCGAGAGCGAGAUCGAGGCCGUGAAGGAGGAGCUCCAGUUCCUGAAGAAGAACCACGAGAACGAGGUGAUGGAGAUGAGGAGUCAGAUCUCCCAGUCGGGCGUGCAAGUGGACGUGGACGCUCCCAAAGGCCAGGACCUGGCCCAGAUCAUGGAGGACGUGAGAGCCAACUACGAGAAGAUGGCGUCAAAGAACGCAGAAGACCUGAAACGAUGGCACGAAAAUCAGAUUGCAGAAGUGCAAGUACAGGUAUCACAGAACACAGAAGCUCUCCAGGGCGCCCAGGUGGAGAUGGGUGACUUAUCCAGACAGAUACAGACGCUGGAAAUUGAACUCGCCUCUCAACAGAGUUUAAAAGCCUCUCUGGAGGACACGCUACAAAACACAGAGCGACGCAACAACAUGGAAAUGGAGAAGCACAACGACAUCAUCAUGCGCCUGGAGGAGGAACUGACCAACCUGCGUGCAAACAUACAGCAUCAGACCCAAGAGUACGAGGCGCUGCUCAACAUGAAGAUGAAACUUGAGGCUGAGAUCAGCACUUACAAGACUCUCCUGGAUGGUGGAGACUUCAAGUAAGAGUUAUAAAGAUGGCGGAGAAAAAAUAAAAACAAGUCAAGGCUAGAUGAUGAUGGUGGUGGAGGUUCCAGGACGCGCUGGACGAGCUGGCAACAAUGUAAUUUGGAACAAAGAAUCAUCCCAACAGUGAAAGCACAGUUGCCCGCAACUAUGAAUUAUGGAAGGAAUGUCAUGCCGGCCCAAUCAACCAAAGCCAUAUUUUUUUGCAGCAAGACCGCAUACCACGUAAAGCUUAAACAAUUUAAGCAAUUCUAAAUAAAAGCAUUCCUGCACAACACAGCGAGACAGACGGAGAUGUUUCAAAAGCAACCACUGCCUGACCUGACAGCAAAAUGUACAUGAAUAAAACCACUUUUAGACCAACA